rnacentral:rRNA from 1 species
UGGGUAACCUGCCUCAAAGAGGGGAAUAGCCUCCCGAAAGGGAGAUUAAUACCGCAUAAUAUGUUUAAGUCGCAUGACUUUAACAUCAAAGGAUUUUCUUUUAGAACUUCCACUUUGAGAUGGACCCCGCGGCGCAUUAGCUAGUUGGUGAGGUAACGGCUCACCAAGGCAACGAUGCGUAGCCGACCUGAGAGGGUGAUCGGCCACAUUGGAACUGAGACACGGUCCAGACUCCGUAGGGAGG